GACGAACGCUGGCGGCGUGCCUAAUACAUGCAAGUCGAACGCUUCUUUCCUCCCGAGUGCUUGCACUCAAUUGGAAAGAGGAGUGGCGGACGGGUGAGUAACACGUGGGUAACCUACCCAUCAGAGGGGGAUAACACUUGGAAACAGGUGCUAAUACCGCAUAACAGUUUAUGCCGCAUGGCAUAAGAGUGAAAGGCGCUUUCGGGUGUCGCUGAUGGAUGGACCCGCGGUGCAUUAGCUAGUUGGUGAGGUAACGGCUCACCAAGGCCACGAUGCAUAGCCGACCUGAGAGGGUGAUCGGCCACACUGGGACUGAGACACGGCCCAGACUCCUACGGGAGGCAGCAGUAGGGAAUCUUCGGCAAUGGACGAAAGUCUGACCGAGCAACGCCGCGUGAGUGAAGAAGGUUUUCGGAUCGUAAAACUCUGUUGUUAGAGAAGAACAAGGACGUUAGUAACUGAACGUCCCCUGACGGUAUCUAACCAGAAAGCCACGGCUAACUACGUGCCAGCAGCCGCGGUAAUACGUANGGGGCUAGCGUUAUCCGGAAUUACUGGGCGUAAAGGGUGCGUAGGCGGUCCUUCAAGCCAGAAGUGAAAGGCUACGGCUCAACCGUAGUAAGCUUUUGGAACUGUAGGACUUGAGUGCAGGAGAGGAGAGUGGAAUUCCUAGUGUAGCGGUGAAAUGCGUAGAUAUUAGGAGGAACACCAGUAGCGAAGGCGGCUCUCUGGACUGUAACUGACGCUGAGGCACGAAAGCGUGGGGAGCAAAC
rnacentral:rRNA from 1 species